CACAGAAAGAGAGGCACUCAGAUGCUUAAGUCCCUGAUGCUCUUUGUAAUUCACACGAGGCAAGAUUUAAUCAAGGUUAUCCUCAAAGUUAAAGGAAUAAAAUGUGCAAUCUAAAGGGGAACCUGUGCACCAAAUGUCAUGACUAAGUGAAAAAGCAUCAGGGGUAUGAUCUUCAGGUUUUAUGGUUUGCAUCCAGCUCCUUAAGCAGAACAUCGGUCACAUGGCUCUCUCCAUCGUGAAUGUCAACCUUGCGGCCUCUGAAGAUGCGCGUGAAGGACCCCUGUCCCAAGCUUUCACACUGAUGCGUGGAGAGGAUGGAGAUGUGAAUGACACACAGAGUAGAGUGACGAUGCUAUUCAUUCAUUUAGUCUGUUUUGUUAUUAACCCAGAUUUUUGUACUGCAUGUCAACACGUUUCUUUAAACGCUCGCUGCUUUCAAGCCACAUGAGGGGGAGACUGCUAAGA